AUAUAUAUGGAGAGAGGAAGGAUAGAUAUAGAUAUGCAGAGAUAGAUAUACAUAUAUAUAGUUAUAGAGAGAGAGGUAGGGAGAUACAUAUACAGGAGGGAUGGAUAUAUAUAUAUGGAGAGAGGAAGGAUAGAUAUAGAUAUGCAGAGAUAGAUAUACAUAUAUAGUUAUAGAGAGAGAGGUAGGGAGAUACAUAUACAGGAGGGAUGGAUAUAUAUAUAUGGAGAGAGGAAGGAUAGAUAUAGAUAUGCAGAGAUAGAUAUACAUAUAUAGUUAUAGAGAGAGAGGUAGGGAGAUACAUAUAGAGGAGGGAUGGAUAUAUAUAUAUGGAGAGAGGAAGGAUAGAUAUAGAUAUGCAGAGAUAGAUAUACAUAUAUAUAGUUAUAGA